GAUGAACGCUGGCGGCGUGCCUAAUACAUGCAAGUCGAGCGAACGGACUAGAAGCUUGCUUCUCUGAUGUUAGCGGCGGACGGGUGAGUAACACGUGGAUAACCUACCUAUAAGACUGGGAUAACUUCGGGAAACCGUAGCUAAUACCGGAUAAUAUUUUGAACCGCAUGGUUCAAAAGUGAAAGACGGUCUUGCUGUCACUUAUAGAUGGAUCCGCGCUGCAUUAGCUAGUUGGUAAGGUAACGGCUUACCAAGGCAACGAUGCAUAGCCGACCUGAGAGGGUGAUCGGCCACACUGGAACUGAGACACGGUCCAGACUCCUACGGGAGGCAGCAGUAGGGAAUCUUCCGCAAUGGGCGAAAGCCUGACGGAGCAACGCCGCGUGAGUGAUGAAGGUCUUCGGAUCGUAAAACUCUGUUAUUAGGGAAGAAAAUAUGUGUAAGUAACUGUGCACAUCUUGACGGUACCUAAUCAGAAAGCCACGGCUAACUACGUG
rnacentral:rRNA from 1 species